GCUGACGAGCGGCGGACGGGUGAGUAAUGCAUAGGAAUCUGCCCGGUAGUGGGGGAUAACCUGGGGAAACCCAGGCUAAUACCGCAUACGUCCUACGGGAGAAAGGGGGCUUUGGCUCCCGCUAUUGGAUGAGCCUAUGUCGGAUUAGCUGGUUGGUGAGGUAACGGCUCACCAAGGCGACGAUCCGUAGCUGGUCUGAGAGGAUGAUCAGCCACAUCGGGACUGAGACACGGCCCGAACUCCUACGGGAGGCAGCAGUGGGGAAUAUUGGACAAUGGGGGCAACCCUGAUCCAGCCAUGCCGCGUGUGUGAAGAAGGCCCUCGGGUUGUAAAGCACUUUCAGCGAGGAAGAACGCCUGGCGGUUAAUACCCGCCAGGAAAGACAUCACUCGCAGAAGAAGCACCGGCUAACUCCGUGCCAGCAGCCGCGGUAAUACGGAGGGUGCAAGCGUUAAUCGGAAUUACUGGGCGUAAAGCGCGCGUAGGUGGCUUGAUAAGCCGGUUGUGAAAGCCCCGGGCUCAACCUGGGAACGGCAUCCGGAACUGUCAGGCUAGAGUGCAGGAGAGGAAGGUAGAAUUCCCGGUGUAGCGGUGAAAUG
rnacentral:rRNA from 1 species